rfam:Morus notabilis contig5278, whole genome shotgun sequence.
AGUAGCAAAAUGAUGAAAGAAAUGUGAGUGAUGACUACUUUGUAGUUUCACGGGAUCAAAAAUCUACUCGCUACGUUCUUUCUGAUUCUUAU